rnacentral:rRNA from 1 species
UACGUAGGGGGCAAGCGUUGUCCGGAAUCAUUGGGCGUAAAGAGCGUGUAGGCGGCCCGAUAAGUCCGCUGUGAAAGUCCAGGGCUCAACCCUGGAAUGCCGGUGGAUACUGUCGGGCUCGAGUCCGGAAGAGGUGGAGUGGAAUUCCUGGUGUAGCGGGUGAAAUGCGCAGAUAUCAGGAGGAACACCCAAUGGCGAAGGCAGCUCACUGGGACGGUACUGACGCUGAGGUGCGAAAGCGUGGGGAGCAAACAGG